rnacentral:lncRNA from 1 species
GCGCGUGAGGACUUCGGCGCGCGCCGGAAGCACGUGCGCGGGCUGGGCGCUCUGGCGGUGUGCGCUGAGCAUCUGUCCCAGUGUCAGGCACAUUUUAGGUGCCCAACAAACAUCUGUGGAAUGAAUGAAUGAGUGCUGGCACCACCUAUAAGCACACAGUAAGGAUAACCAUGGAGAGAAUAUGCCGAGCCUUUUAAUCAGCCCAGAAGAGCGCCUUCUGUGUUAAGGCGAAAUGCCAGAAUCCCAAGGAACAGAUUCACCACCCAGGGGCGGGACUCAGGGACUGCUGAUACUGAGGCUGCCCUGUGGGUUUUCCUUCCAGAUCCCUUCUUGAUUUGCCCAAAAGAAUUUCACGUUUUGUUUCAGUUAAGGAGAGGCCUUUCCUUACUGCUGACUUUAAGGAAACUGGAAAUUGUGCUUGUGGGGGAAGUGGCUUUGGAACUUGGGGCCUCUUUGGGACCUGGUAGGCAAUGGGGUUUGGGGGCAAGUUUGUGGGACAUGUGUCUGAACAGGAAGGAAGGGAGGAGCAGUGGGGCCAGCCAGGAAGCAGUGCCGAAUGCAGAUUUCUCUUCUUGUGCAGCUUUGCUUAGAGUUGAACAUUACUUCCCAGAGAUAGAUUGACCCCAAUCCUGCAGAGAUUGGCUAUCCUGCUCUUCAACUUAUUUUUAGAUAUAUGGUCUCACUUGAAUCUCACAUCCAAUGAGGAGUUCCUGACCCCUCAAUUUAGCUCCACCUGGCAUUCCAGAGCAAUUCAAGGACCUGGUAGGGCUACUAGCAAUCCACUGCUACAUAUAGGGGAACAAUGAGUUUUAAAGCUGCUCAGAAAUCUGUGAUUCGAGUAUCAGGAAAUCCUUGACUCUUUAUCAAAUGUGAAGUUGCUGAUUUAAGAAAUAAAGUUAAGAAACAAUAUUCAUUAACAGAAUGGAAUUUAAUGCAACCGCUGGUGUUUUGGGGUUAUUUUCUGGUCACAUAGUGCCCCCUGGUGGGUUCACUGACAUACUCUUCUGGAAUGCUCCUUUCCCAGGCUGUGCUUUGUGACAAGGCCAGCACCAGCAGGGUGAUUCCAAGAAUUUGCAGUUUAGGCACAGUCCAACGAUGCUCUAAAGAUUGUCUGUUAAGGGAAAAUAUGAGUUAUGAAAAUGCUGUGGGUUGUACUGUAUCCCCCACCAAAAGAUACGUUAAAGUCCUAAGCCCCAAUACCUGUGAAUGCAGACUUAUUUGGAAAAAGGGUCUUUGCAGAUGUAACUAUGAAACUAAGGUGAGGUCAUUAGGGCAAGCCCUUAAUCCAGUAUGACUGUGUUCUUAUAAGAGGAGGAGAGGCUGGGUGCAGUGGCUCACACCUGUAAUCCCAGCGAUUUGGGAGGCUGAGGCGGGAGGAUCGCUUGAGCCCAGGAUUUGCUGGGCAACAUAUCGAGACCCCAUCUCUACUAAAAAUUUAAAAAUUAGCCAGACAUGGUGGCACGCAGCUGUAGUCUCACCUACUUGGAAGGCUAGUGGGAGGAUGGCUUGAGCCCAGGAGUCCGAGGCUGCAGUGAGCUAUGAUCAUAUCAAUGCACUCCAGUCUGGGCAACAAGGGAGACCCUGACUCAAAAAAACAAAACAAAAACAAAACAAAACAAAACAAAAAAAGAGGAGGAGAGAGACACACAAGGAGAGAAUGCCAUGUGACAAUGGAGACAGACACUGGACUGAUGCACCUGCAGACCGAGGAAUGCGCAAGGAUUGCCAGCAGCCCCCAGAAGCCAGGAGCGGGACAUGGAAUAGAGUCUCUCUCAACCCCUCAGAAAGUUCUAAUCCUGCUGAUGCCUUGAUUUUGGACUUCAGCGUCCAGAACUGUGAGAUGAGAUAUGUUUGUUGCUUAAGCCUCCCGGUUUAUGCUGCUUUGUGAUGGCAGCCCAAGCAGACGAAUACAGAAAGAAAUGGGGAUUUGAGUUGGAAGAACUGCUUUGAGUCCCAGCUACCACUUAGUACCUGAAUGACCUUGGGCAAAGAAGUUCAAUUUUUCUGAGCCUCAGUUUUAUAAACUGCAAAAUGGAGAAAUACAAAAGUAACUGUUCUCCUGCCUCAGGAUCCCUGUGAGGAUGAAGUGUGACUAUGUGUAUAAAAAUAUUUUGUUUAUUGUACAGCACUGUGUACUGCAAUCUUAUUACACAAAGAAAGGAAGGUGGGAGGUAGUAGAGCGGAGUGAUUACAAGCUAGGCUCUGGCUGGGCACAGUGGCUCAUGCCUGUAAUCUCAGCACUUUGGGAGGCUGAGGUGGGUGGAUCACCUGAGGUCAGGAGUUUGACCUGGCCAACAUGGUGAAAUCCCAUCUCUACUAGAAAUACAAAAAAAAAAAAAAAAAUUAGCCAGGUGUGGUGGUGGGUGCCUGUAAUCCUAGCUUCUUGGGUGGCUGAAGCAGAAGAAUCACUUGAACCUGGGAGGCAGAGAUUGCAGUGAGCCAAGAUCGCGCCAUUGCACUCCAGCCUGGGCAACAGAGCGAGACUCCAUCUCAAAAAAAAAAAAAAAAAAGCUAGACUCUGAAGUCAGUUUGCCAGGGUCUGUGAGUGGAAAUGUUACAAAGAAGCUUCUCAUGAAAACUUGACUCUCAAAUGAGCCAAAGGCAGUGAUGCCCAGAAAUGGAGUUGUGGUAACACUUAAAGGAAUGUAUCAGUUGUCUAUUGCUCUAUAAUGAACCCCAAAACUUAGUAGCUUCAAAUGAUUAGCUUAUUCUUUCACACGGUCUCCGUGGAUCAGGAGUCAAGGGCAACUUAAUUGGGUGCUUCUCACUUGGAGUCUCUUGUGAGACUACAGUCACCUGAGGUUUAGACUGGGGCUGGAGGACCCACUUCCCAGAUGGCUCACCCACCUGGCUGUCGGCAGGAGGCUGCAGUUCCUCUCCAUGUGGUCGUCUUCACAGGUCUGGACUUGGGAGAGGGAUCUGGACUGAAGUGGAGGAAUCCAGUACAAGUAGUGGAGCCGUCUGAAAUCUUGCAUUUCAGAAUGGAUGGGUAUAUCAUACCUUAUUUAACCAGCAUCCUAUUGUUGGACUGUUAGGUUUUUCUAUCAAAAAUAACCCUGUGAUGAGCCUCUUGAAAUUGCUGUCUUUGCAUGGAUCCACUAUAUUUCCUUUGGAUAAUUCCAAAAACGAACAAUGGGUGUGUGUGAGUUAAAGCGUUUAACUUAUUUCCAAAGUAACUUCCAUCCCCGUGUGUGAGAAGGCUCACCUGCGCCUUUCCACCACUGGCUGUUAAAAAAUUUUGAAACUCU